AUUGAACGCUGGCGGCAGGCUUAACACAUGCAAGUCGAGCGGGGAAAGGUAGCUUGCUACCUGACCUAGCGGCGGACGGGUGAGUAAUGCUUAGGAAUCUGCCUAUUAGUGGGGGACAACAUCUCGGAGGGGAUGCUAAUACCGCAUACGUCCUACGGGAGAAAGCAGGGGACCUUCGGGCCUUGCGCUAAUAGAUGAGCCUAAGUCGGAUUAGCUAGUUGGUGGGGUAAAGGCCGACCAAGGCGACGAGCUGUAGCGGGUCUGAGAGGAGGAUCCGCCACACUGGGACUGAGACACGGCCCAGACUCCUACGGGAGGCAGCAGUGGGGAAUAUUGGACAAUGGGGGGAACCCUGAUCCAGCCAUGCCGCGUGUGUGAAGAAGGCCUUUUGGUUGUAAAGCACUUUAAGCGAGGAGGAGGCUACCGAGAUUAAUACUCUUGGAUAGUGGACGUUACUCGCAGAAUAAGCACCGGCUAACUCUGUGCCAGCCGCCGCGGUAACAC
rnacentral:rRNA from 1 species